GGGCCGGUAGCUCAGGUGGUUAGAGCGCACGCCUGAUAAGCGUGAGGUCGGAAGUUCAACUCUUCCUCGGCCCA
rfam:Hyphomonas sp. T16B2 contig7, whole genome shotgun sequence.